rnacentral:miRNA from 14 species
GUCUUACCUGUUCAAUAUUUAGA